UACAGAGGGUGCGAGCGUUAAUCGGAAUUACUGGGCGUAAAGCGCGCGUAGGCGGCUUUGCAAGUCGGGUGUGAAAUCCCCAGGCUUAACCUGGGAACUGCAUUCGAGACUGCAUUGCUAGAGUAUGGGAGAGGGAAGUGGAAUUUCCGGUGUAGCGGUGAAAUGCGUUGAGAUCGGAAGGAACGCCCGUGGCGAAAGCGAGUCCCUGGACGUCUACUGACGCUGAGACGCGAAAGCUAGGGGAGCGAACGGG
rnacentral:rRNA from 1 species